GCCUUCUGUCCCAGCUCGCCAGUUCUCACAUGGGACCAGAUGGGAAGGUGCCAUUGGGAGACCCAGCCUUCAUGCCAGAUUCCUGGGCAAUCUGGUCCUGCAUCCCUGCUGUGAGAAGGGGUAGGCUAAGGCUGGAAUCAUCUGGAGGCCUCCAGGAGGAGCCAUAGAAGAUGGCAGGUGUUUCAUGUGGCUGCACUAAGGGCUCUCAUGGCCUGGGUCCAGCCCAACAGGCCCUUUUUUGACCAAUCCUGGGAAAUCAUGUCCACUGCAUUUUAUUGAUUACAGCUAAAAGUACUGAAGGAAGCAUAUGAGCCCCCUGGCUGGUCUCACAUUCAGUUGGCAAAUCCUGGAAGUGGCCUGGCUAUCAUGCAGUAUCUCUUCAUCCUUUCCUAUGGGAAGGACUUCUCUUCCCUUUUCACCAACCUGAGAGGUAAGCAGAACCUCUGUAGGCAAGUUCCUGCAGGCUGCCCUCCUGAGAAGAGGUCAGAAUGAGGGCUGCAUUAAGGCCUCCUUCUGGCAAAAGGGGAAGACAACUUCAGAGGACCAUCUUCCUCCUCAUAAAGGUGUCUCCAUUGGGUCUGGAAUUCAGGCUAUCAUCCCAGGGAAGGGUC